UUAAAUUGAAGAGUUUGAUCAUGGCUCAGAUUGAACGCUGGCGGCAGGCCUAACACAUGCAAGUCGAACGGUAACAGGAAUCAGCUUGCUGAUUCGCUGACGAGUGGCGGACGGGUGAGUAAUGUCUGGGAAACUGCCUGAUGGAGGGGGAUAACUACUGGAAACGGUAGCUAAUACCGCAUAACGUCGCAAGACCAAAGAGGGGGACCUUCGGGCCUCUUGCCAUCGGAUGUGCCCAGAUGGGAUUAGCUAGUAGGUGGGGUAACGGCUCACCUAGGCGACGAUCCCUAGCUGGUCUGAGAGGAUGACCAGCCACACUGGAACUGAGACACGGUCCAGACUCCUACGGGAGGCAGCAGUGGGGAAUAUUGCACAAUGGGCGCAAGCCUGAUGCAGCCAUGCCGCGUGUAUGAAGAAGGCCUUCGGGUUGUAAAGUACUUUCAGCGGGGAGGAAGGGAGUAAAGUUAAUACCUUUGCUCAUUGACGUUACCCGCAGAAGAAGCACCGGCUAACUCCGUGCCAGCAGCCGCGGUAAUACGGAGGGUGCAAGCGUUAAUCGGAAUUACUGGGCGUAAAGCGCACGCAGGCGGUUUGUUAAGUCAGAUGUGAAAUCCCCGGGCUCAACCUGGGAACUGCAUCUGAUACUGGCAAGCUUGAGUCUCGUAGAGGGGGGUAGAAUUCCAGGUGUAGCGGUGAAAUGCGUAGAGAUCUGGAGGAAUACCGGUGGCGAAGGCGGCCCCCUGGACGAAGACUGACGCUCAGGUGCGAAAGCGUGGGGAGCAAACAGGAUUAGAUACCCUGGUAGUCCACGCCGUAAACGAUGUCGACUUGGAGGUUGUGCCCUUGAGGCGUGGCUUCCGGAGCUAACGCGUUAAGUCGACCGCCUGGGGAGUACGGCCGCAAGGUUAAAACUCAAAUGAAUUGACGGGGGCCCGCACAAGCGGUGGAGCAUGUGGUUUAAUUCGAUGCAACGCGAAGAACCUUACCUGGUCUUGACAUCCACAGAACUUUCCAGAGAUGGAUUGGUGCCUUCGGGAACUGUGAGACAGGUGCUGCAUGGCUGUCGUCAGCUCGUGUUGUGAAAUGUUGGGUUAAGUCCCGCAACGAGCGCAACCCUUAUCCUUUGUUGCCAGCGGUCCGGCCGGGAACUCAAAGGAGACUGCCAGUGAUAAACUGGAGGAAGGUGGGGAUGACGUCAAGUCAUCAUGGCCCUUACGACCAGGGCUACACACGUGCUACAAUGGCGCAUACAAAGAGAAGCGAUCUCGCGAGAGCAAGCGGACCUCAUAAAGUGCGUCGUAGUCCGGAUUGGAGUCUGCAACUCGACUCCAUGAAGUCGGAAUCGCUAGUAAUCGUGGAUCAGAAUGCCACGGUGAAUACGUUCCCGGGCCUUGUACACACCGCCCGUCACACCAUGGGAGUGGGUUGCAAAAGAAGUAGGUAGCUUAACCUUCGGGAGGGCGCUUACCACUUUGUGAUUCAUGACUGGGGUGAAGUCGUAACAAGGUAACCGUAGGGGAACCUGCGGUUGGAUCACCUCCUUACCUUAAAGAAGC
rnacentral:rRNA from 1 species